UCCUACGGGUGGCAGCAGUAGGGAAUAUUAGAAAUGGACGAAAGUCUGAUCUAGCAACACCGCGUGUGCGAAGAAGGCCUUCGGGUCGUAAAGCACUUUUUGGAAGGAAUAGGAAGGAAUGUACUUCCAGAAUAAGUCUCGGCUAACUACGUGCCAGCAGCCGCGGUAACACGUAGGAGGCGAACGUUAUCCGGAUUUACUGGGCGUAAAGCGCGUGUAGGUGGUACUGUAAGUAGGGCGUGAAAGCUCCCGGCUCAACUGGGAGAGGCCGUUCUAAACUACAGAACUAGAGGAUGGUAGAGGGAGGUGGAAUUCCAGGUGUAGCGGUGGAAUGCGCAGAUAUCUGGAGGAACACCAGUGGCGAAGGCGGCCUCCUGGACCAUUCCUGACACUCAGACGCGAAAGCUAGGGUAGCAAACGGGAUUAGAUACCCGAGUAGUCA
rnacentral:rRNA from 1 species